GACGAACGCUGGCGGCGUGCUUAACACAUGCAAGUCGAACGGAAAGGCCCUGCUUUUGUGGGGUGCUCGAGUGGCGAACGGGUGAGUAACACGUGAGUAACCUGCCCUUGACUUUGGGAUAACUUCAGGAAACUGGGGCUAAUACCGGAUAGGAGCCUCUGCUGCAUGGUGGGGGUUGGAAAGUCUCGGCGGUUGGGGAGGGACUCGCGGCUUAUCAGCUUGUUGGUGGGGUAGUGGCUUACCAAGGCUUUGACGGGUAGCCGGCCUGAGAGGGUGACCGGCCCCAUUGGGACUGGGAUACGGCCCGGACUCCUCCGGGAGGCAGCGGUGGGGAAUAUUGCACAAUGGGCGGAAGCCUGUGGCGGCAACGCCGCGUGCGGAAUGACGGCCUUCGGGUUGUAACCCGCUUUCGCCUGUGACAAGGCGUGUGUGACGGUAGUGGGUAAAGAAGCACCGGCUAACUACGUG
rnacentral:rRNA from 1 species